UACGUAGGGUCCGAGCGUUGUCCGGAAUUAUUGGGCGUAAAGGGCUCGUAGGCGGUUUGUUACGUCGGGAGUGAAAACUCAGGGCUCAACCCUGAGCGUGCUUCCGAUACGGGCAGACUAGAGGUAUUCAGGGGAGAACGGAAUUCCUGGUGUAGCGGUGGAAUGCGCAGAUAUCAGGAGGAACACCGGUGGCGAAGGCGGUUCUCUGGGAAUUACCUGACGCUGAGGAGCGAAAGCAUGGGGAGCGAACAGG
rnacentral:rRNA from 1 species